rnacentral:lncRNA from 1 species
CGGCUUUAUCUUGGCCAAUUGGUUACUUCGUAAAGUUCAUACCUGUAGCAAAAAGACCAUUUCUCAGCUAUCUUAGAAGAUGAGAAUGAAGUCUGCCUGUCCACAAAUUACUCAGAAUUUCAGCAUGACACACGAAGAAUGAAAGUUAUUUAAACUGAUUCCCAGAACGAAGAGGAGAUUGUAUUGUUAUUGCAGCUUCAUUGUGGCCAACUGGUUAUGUUUAAAGACCUGAAGCAAGCAAACCAUUCUCAGCCAUCAUAAAGCCGAGCAUCAAAGUCAACUGGACAAUGAAAGUUGACCUACCAUCACUUGAUCUCUGAAUAUGUAACUGCAAUAGCUGUUCAACACUUGACAUCUACGCUCGUCAGGGGGCUGCAGAACUAUGCACCAAAAAAAUCUGUAUGGCAAGUUGAAAACACUUAUAAAGUCAAGUCAAAACCAGAGAUCUGACAGAUAAAGAUAGCGGCAAACCUUUUGUCAGUGGAAAUCCUGUUUCCACAAGAUUCUCUUAAACAGGGACAGCAUAUUAUACUAUAGAUCAGACGAGAAGGCUCUACAGGAUGCUAUUCUGUGCUUGUGUCAACCGUCAUCAUCAUAUUCCACUAAGUAUUUAAUCAUUUAUUUGAGGUUGUUAGUGAGUUGCUGGUGAGCUGUGGCACUAGUGAAGCUCCGCAAGGAUAUAUCAAUAUGGCGGCACUGCAUUGUCCAUAUGGUGCCGCACGGUUUGCAUAUGUAAUAUUUCUAUUAUAUUUAGCAAUCUAUAUAUACUAUUCUCAGUCGGUUGGAUCAGUAUAAUGGCGUAGCGGCAGCUUCAAGUGUGCCUGGAUGCCAUAUUAUAAAUCUAUCAACGAUAUGGCAAGGCUGUAAUAACUAAGUAUGUUUUAUUAUGUACAAAUUUCUUAUUUUAUUAUUAGCGGGGAAGAAGUGAAGGCAGACAAUGAUAAUGUGCAAGCACCCCCUUACAUCUUUACCUGAACUGUCCAGUAUGUGAUAUCAGCAAACAGGCAUAUCUUGCUCAAAAAAUUAUUGACAAAAACACUUAAUGCAGGCUAUAGUUCUGUACUUGCAACCGAUAAUGUAUAUGCUACAGACCGGAAGCAAAAGCAAUUCAAUCAAGAAGGGAAUGAGGUUAGUGAAACUACAAGGAAACUGCAAGACAGAAGGACGCAACUCAGGGAAAUAACAGUUAACACAUAGAUAUUAAAUCAGAGAAUGACAGAUGGAGUCAUAAAGAUAUUUAGUUAGAAAAUCUUGAGGAAUAAUGGUUAGUUAGAGAUCUAUCUUGAUUGAUUGUAGUAUUUAGAACUGCAUCACUCAUUCAGCUGUAGCAGCUUGCAUCAUAGAUUCAUAAUGAAUAUAUAUUUCAUAUUAUUUAAGUUCAUGUGCAUAAUUUCUGCAACUUUCAACAACUUCAAAGGUGACCUCAUGUAGUUAUAUUGAUGAUUGCUUCUUAGUAGCAAUGCUACAUUCAUAAUAUUUGGCAUGCCUUAUAAAUCAGCAUGUUGUGAGAGAUAAAAAAGAGAAAGAUGGGAGAGGGCAUGCAUUGCAGGCUAUAUAUGCCUAAUAUGUUAUAUGAAGAGAAACUGAAAAAACAGUCUCCCUGCAAGAGAAACGUAGAUUGCUACAGUACUUUGACUUAAUGCAAAUUUCACCUAACGAAUUCAUGCUUACAUUUUUAAACAGUAUGCACCUAGCAGAUAAACUCAAUCACAUAAAAUAAUUUGGCAUUUACUUGCUUUUCUAUUUAUUAUAAUUGCAGUCAUUAGUAGCAUAGUGGGACAUUAACAACCCCCCAAGGCCCCAACCCCCACCCACCCACACACCCGAGAAGACAAAAAGAUAGGAUAAUCCAUUAAUGAGUAGAAACUUAAGCUUUUAAGUUUUAAGCAACCCAACGCCAUAUGUGACCCUUCAUAUGAAGUAUGAACAAUAAACAGUUUUGGGCAUCAAACUGAACAUUUUCAGUUUCUCCAUGUAAUUAGAAAGAUCACAGUCUGUUUAGAGUACAAAUAUCACCUGAUUAAAGCGCAUAUCAUAAGAAAUAUCAGGUAUAAGUUUUAAGUGUACUAAUAACUAGACUAGACACCGCUAGAGCUUUUGCAGAAAACAAGUACAUACUAUUUGAUUCGCCCUCAACGAGAAUAUCUGGUCACGAAACUCUGCACGAAAUACCCUAAAUCCAAAGAACAUGCAUAAAGAAGUAUUUAGGCAUGUUAAUGUGGAGCAUUUUUAUCUUUCAAAGGGAGAGGGAAAACAAACUAAUAUCGAUACAUAAAACAUAAAUUAAACCACAUAUAUGCAGAGAAUCUGAAUUUGACAAUUACGCAAACCAGUCUUCAUCUGACACUACAUCAAAUAUUAAAUAGCUUAAAGAUAAAUUGAUGAGUUAAGGUCGUGUUAAGUUCCAAACAAAAUAUAAAUUCAGAUAUACAAAAAAUGUUGGAGCUAGAAGCAGGCCUCAGAAGUUUGAUAUGACUUGAAUCAAGAAAAUCGUUAAUAUUCUUAACAAAAUCAAGGGGAAUUAAAGCAAACGAUCUACGGUUAAUCAAAGAAUAAUAAUCAAUUAUUCAUAACAUAAUUUGACAAUAUACACCAUACACAAUUGUACAGAGAGAGAGGGAGGGAGAGAGGAGAGAGAUUUGUUACCAGAAAAUCUCCAGCUUCCGAUGUGCUACACUGCUAUGUUUAGAUUACUCUUCCGCGAUGAAGUAUGCCACUACUAUACGAGUACCGGUGUCUUUUGUCACAAAAGAUGCGUUAUGUUUACGGGAUUAAAAUUUAAAAGGGUUUUACAUCGAAAAUCUCAUUCUGCCUAAAAAUCUCAUCUAUG